rnacentral:ribozyme from 1 species
UGUUACAAAAUUAGAUUGAAAUUAUAAUAUGUUUAUAGUUCAUGUUUUUUCUUUACAUAGAAUC